UUUUUGAUGUAUUUCAAUAAUAGAUCUUAAAACACGAUAAGGUUUUGCAUGACCACACUGAGUUUUCUCUUGACUGCAUUGAGAUAAAGCGAAAAAGGUUUCUUGUGUUGCUAGGAAAAAGGAGCAAAUAGAGGGUGCCGUGGGCAAAAUAGUUGACCAACCGUUUCACCUGUAAUCAGUUAACCUUUGCUUUAUCGUGAUGUAUUGAUAAGUGACUGUUAUUUUUUCUGUGUUAUCCUGUUUUAGCAUCUGGUAGUGAUUGUUUUUCUUUAUUUAGCUUCUGAUCGGAUUGAUUUCUUAUU